AAAAGAGGGCGAAUCGAGAGACGAAUCAGGACUCAGGACUCAGGAGGGAGUUUGAAGGAAAAAGAGACAAACCCUGGGAAAGUAUAAGAGGGAAGAAGGAAAGAGGACCCACUUACAGCUUCGGCGGAGGGCUCCCAAAGUGCCGACUGCCAACUGCAUCUCUCUUCCAGUGCAGCAUGCCCAUCAUCGACGUUCCCUUAUUGGGUUGCAAGGAACCUUGAAAGUUGAAACCACUACUCUCAUAAACCAGCAGGCAACGAGGUCAUCAGCCUCCUGGAUGCUAAUGAUCGACACCAAUCGUGACAACCAUCUGAGCCAACGUUGGUAACAUAUCCAUGUAUCGCUAACCCAGGUGCACUUCCAAUUUUAUUAGCCAUUAAGAAUAAAACAAAGAUUGUGUUUCAUCUUGGACUCCUUAAUGCGGCUUCACCUCGAAUGUUUUGGCUCUAUCAUGCAGCACUUUUUUGGGUUCUUUCAUGUGGAGUCACACAGGAAGAAAUUACCAAGAAAGCGACGAUUGGAACAAGAAAGUAAGAAAUCCUAUAUGGUAGAACGGAGAGAGAUGGCAAAGAAGGAAAGAUUGAAGAAAGAAAGGAAGAAACAAAAUAAUACAGGAAAGAAUUAUUCCAUUGCAAAUCUUCCUGAAGAAACCAUUGCAGAGGUUCUUGUUAGAGUUUCACCAUACUCUCUUGACAAUGCCAGGCUUGUUUGCAAGGCAUGGUCUAAGAUAAUUCUUUAUAAGUUCCACUUGUUUAAGCCAAGCUUCAUUAUCCAAGAAAAGAACCCUGAAUGCAAAGAUGGAUGUGAUACCCGAUUUGUAAUGAUUGAAGGAGGGAAGAUUAGAGACACUGGGUUAGAUUUCCCUUGCAAUGGACGAAUUAUGGCUAGCUGUAAUGGUUUGUUAUUGAUUGAAAGUUGCUGCAAAUUGCAAGUACCUGUAUGUGACUAACCCAAUUACCAAACAAUGUGUAAUACUUCCUCCAUGUGUACCAUACAUUGUGAGGGAACUAACUAUGGUGGUUCUAUGUAUGGGCUAACAUUUGUGCCUUCUCCCAAGGAAUUCAAGGUUGUGCAUGUUGUUCUAUUCAGGAAAAACCGCCUUGCAACUGUUGAAUGUGAAAUAUUUGUCUUGGGGAGUAAUACAUGGAGGGAGAUUGCAGAUGAAAUAAAUUUUCGCAAUGAGAAUGUAUUUUGGGCCAAUAUAUUCCCUGUUUCUGUGAAUGGAGUUUUGCAUUGCAAGGGUAUCUCAUACAUAGGUGAAAAAUACUGUUACAUAUUGUCCUUAAUGCUGCUGAUGAGAAGUUCCGACUGACGCAAAUCCCAAAUUACUACAACGCACAGGGUCAUGGCUUUAUAGAGGUUGGUGGCUAUUUAGCUCAUCUGACUCCUACAGCUCCUACCCAGAUGGAUCUAUGGUUUUUGAAGGAUUUUAAGUAUGGAAAUUGGAUCAAGAAACUUAGUAUUGCCUCAGAACAUGUAAGAAAUGCGAUUCAGAAUGGAACCAUAUUCCAUGUUGUACCCUUCUGUAUCUUGGAUAAUGGGAAAGUAAUAAUGCUCAGGGUUGGUUCAGAGAAAGGUUACAUGUUAUAUGCUUAUGAUACUGAGUCCGAACAAACAAGAUUGGUGGAAACAGGAAUCCAUUCAAUAAAUAAUUGCCUGCCUCUUCCUCACAUCAAUACCCUUGUCACUUUGGUAUCAUCUCACAGCGGAAGGUGGACUUCUAUCUGGAUCGUUGAUCAUCCAUAGAAGGAUUAAAAAUAGAAAUAGGGGUUUUGAUCACUUUAUAAUCUAAUAACAAAUAACAAUUUUUAUUUUAUUUUUUCUAGUUAUCCUUAUGUACGAGAUAGCUUAGGACAUGUUUGGGAGUGCUUUUAAACCCACUUAGGAAUGUCCUUUUAUAGAUACCUUAGGACAUGUUUGGGAGUGCUUAUUUGGGCCAUUAAGCAUUUAUUGGUAUUUGGGAAAUAAACCCGAAAUAA